AAUUUGCAUGCUUUGUCACAAAGUCACAUCUCCAACUACUGUCCAACAGUCAUAGCCUAGUGAGAUACUACCCUUAUAAUCAAAAACAUGCACC